rnacentral:rRNA from 1 species
GUCCCAGCCCUAAACGAUGGAUACUAGGUGUCGGGGGUAUCGACCCCCCCGGUGCAGUCGCUAACGCAGUAAGUAUCCCGCCUGGGGAGUACGGCCGCAAAGUUGAAACUCAAAGGAAUUGACGGGGGCCCGCACAAGCGGUGGAGCAUGUUGUUUAAUACGUCACGAACCGUAGAACCUUACCAAGGCUUGACAUCCAUUGCACCGGGGUGAAAGCAUCGUACCCGUAAGGGACAGUGAGACAGGUGUUGCAUGGCUGUCGU